rnacentral:rRNA from 1 species
CGUAGGUGGCAAGCGUUGUCCGGAUUUAUUGGGUUUAAAGGGUGCGUAGGUGGCCCUGUAAGUCAGUGGUGAAAUAUCUCAGCUUAACUGAGAGGGUGCCAUUGAUACUGCAGGGCUUGAGUACAGAUGAGGUAGGCGGAAUUGACGGUGUAGCGGUGAAAUGCAUAGAUAUCGUCAAGAACACCGAUAGCGAAGGCAGCUUACCAAGCUGUAACUGACACUGAGGCACGAAAGUGUGGGGAUCAAACAGGAUUAGAUACCCUGGUAGUCCACACUGUAAACGUUGAUGACUCGAUGUUGGCGAUACACAGCCAGCGUCCAAGAGCAAUCGUUAAGUCAUCCACCUGGGAGUACGCCGGCAACGGUG